AGAGCGAACGCUGGCGGCAGGCCUAACACAUGCAAGUCGAGCGCGUGUAGCAAUACACGAGCGGCAGACGGGAGAGUAACACGUGGGAACGCGCCCUUCGGUUCGGAAUAACUCAGGGAAACUUGAGCUAAUACCGGAUACGCCCUUACGGGGAAAGAUUAUUGCCGAAGGAACGGCCCGCGUCCGAUUAGCUAGUUGGUGAGGUAACGGCUCACCAAGGCGACGAUCGGUAGCUGGUCUGAGAGGAUGACCAGCCUCACUGGGACUGAGACACGGCCCAGACUCCUACGGGAGGCAGCAGUGGGGAAUAUUGGACAAUGGGCGCAAGCCUGAUCCAGCCAUGCCGCGUGGAUGAUGAAGGCCUUAGGGUUGUAAAGUCCUUUUAACGGGGAAGAUAAUGACGGUACCCGUAGAAUAAGCCCCGGCUAACUUCGUGCCAGCAGCCGC
rnacentral:rRNA from 1 species